ACCCCUUUAAUGUCCAUGAAAAGCUUCUCCUGAAUAUGUGGGUACUUAACCAAAUUCGCCAUUAUCCAUUGCAAGGCCGUGGAGGUAGUGUCUGUGCCUGCGUUAAGAAAUUCAUUGCACAAAGUAACAAUUUCAUCUUCGCUGAGCUUCCUUUUCUCGUCAGGAAGUUGAAGAUCUAGAAGUGUAUCAACAUAUGAUAAGAAAUAGUCAUCAUUUUCGUUCUUGGAUUUGCUCAAUUUUUCUUCUUUUACCUUCUUUCUUGCUCUUAUUAAAGGAAUUAAUACGUCUUCUUGGUUCUUUCGAAGCUGCAAGAACUCUGACCAGAGUUUGCGAAACACGAUUUUGAACAAUCUUGGCCAGAAAUUGAGUAAAUUGAAUCUGCCACUAUUCAAAAGCAAGUCACGCUCAACUCUUUCAAUUUCUUUAAUUUGUUUCUGAUCGAGCUUGUCACCAAAGCACAUGAGGACUAGCAGGUAAAACAUGGCGUAACGAAUAACAUCCACAACACGAACCGGAUGUCCAGAUUUCGACUGCGAUUCAAAGCGAUUGAGGAGGAUUUGCAG
rnacentral:misc_RNA from 1 species